UGAAAUUUAAGUAGGUUUACUUUAAGUACCGUAACAUGUUCAAUCGAAUAACUGACUGGUACUGGAAGUCAUUGUCAGUUUUGAUAUGAAAAUUGAGUUGCAACAUGAACUUGAUCACGUUCAGAUGCGGAUUACCUGGCUAUAAAAUUAAACUACUUACCUGGAAUAUUUCCCAUCCCCAAUCCUGGUAAGUUUUAUUACCCGUCAAGUACCACAUGUAGAACAGGGUCUCCAGAAAUUCUGGGCGCAGCAAAUUAUGGGCAUCAUUUGCCUUCACGUACAUGUCUAAUUGAUUAGCAUCACCUUCCAAUGGCUUCUGCAAGGUGAGACGAAUCGAUCAAUACUGACACAACGCACUCAAAUAUAAAGUGCAAGGAAUGUCGGCUGAACAGCAUAAGUUUGGUAACAAGUGCGCACAAGCUCUUCGGCCAACUUCAUGUGGUCGGAUUGGAGGCCGUUGUGUGCUCCCAGAGCCAAGGUUCCUCCCAAAAAGCAUACCAAAUGGUCCUGCAUAAUUGAGAUAACGGUAAACAGUUUGAACACACUGCUUCAAAUAUUCAAAUGUCUGUAACCACUGUUUCAACAAAUAUUCAUAGUAACUGUCCCCUCGUGCGCCGAACGAGAUUGUUGACAAUUCUCUAAACGCUCCAGUGUUGGCGUUUAUAAAAAUUGGAACAAGUCCGUCGAAUUUCUUCAACUGAUGUACAUGCUCUGAAACCUUAGCUGCUGCUUCCUGAAACCAUUCAUAAAUAUGAAAUUUAGAAAAAUUUAACACAGAUAAAGUACCUCAAACUUUGACUGGCCUGAAACACGGCUAAGAUCGCGAAACUCCAACUGUAUUGUGGUAACUUCACUGGUACUACUAUCAGGGCCCCAUUUUGGGCUGUGCGCAGUUCUGGUACCAAGAUUGACGUCGGAAUACGGAACACCAGAUUUAGUGGAGAAGGCAGGCAUCAAUCGAUCGCCAAGAUCAAACUGAAAAUGUUUUUUAAGCAUGUUUUAAAUUGCCAGUACUAAUCGAUAAUAAACGGAUACUUUUAAAAUUCAUUUUCAUAAUAACAGCUUACGGCUUUAUCCAGGAAUAUUUUAUCUCCCGACAAAUGGUAAGUGCUCAACAGUCCGCCUAAUACACGAAUGGUCACUUCAAACAAAUUCACAUCCCUGCUCACCCCAAACGUUAAACUCUCUUCGACCCAAGCUCGAGCUUCCGCGAACUCUGUAAUAUUAUUUUCAUCAAACAAUCAAAGACGACCGAACUUAUUUGUUAGAGUGAAAUUUACAAAUUGAGAAUAUUAAUGAAAUGAAAAUCAGUCAGAGAAGUGGUAUGUACAAAUCAAAAACAACUACCAGAAAAGUCAAAAUCAACAAACUUUUACAUGAGAUGAGAACAUCUGCAUAAAAGUUUACCCCGGAAUGUGAUUAUUUGUGUUGUCUUUAACUACUGUCUGGUGAAAAAUCAGAGAUCAUUGUUUCAAAGUAUGUGAAUCUUGGAUUACAAAAAUUUCAGUUCAAAUUCGAAUCAAAUUGAAAUUCAAUUGAACGUUAUUAUUAUAACACUAUAAUAAUCAAGUUUUCUGUGAGGUUGAAGUUUCUAUAACAUUAAUAUGACGAUUCACUUUGAGCAAAAAUUGUUAUUUCACAACUUUAGGUUUGUGUGAAGCCUCAGUAGACCAUGUUAUAGUAAAAUAUACUCAUUAUUACCAACAGAAAAUGGUUCCAAGCGUGACUCAUCAUUUUUUAAUAAAUUGAGGAGAAUAUGGUAGGUUUGCAUACAAUAGUAAAUGAGAAAUUAGAUGGACAGGACCUGAUUAAAACGUUGUGUCAGAGUUAUUAUUGUAGCCAUGCGAGCGAGCUUACUCGUAAGCAAGGAAACCGAUUGGUAAAUACAAUGGCGGGCACAUGUACUCCCCGUACUACAUGAUAGUACAGUUGUUAUGCUGCGCACACUCAAAGGUGAGGUGGAGUCCCUUCACGCUCCGCAUACCUGAGUAACAUAUACUAGCUAGGACGACCUGAGUAUCGAAAGGCAGCCAGUCCUGUCAGGCAAGUGCAAAGAGGAAACACAGAUGACAGUUUUGAGAAAGGAAUGAUUCGGAACUAUUACUCGCACAUUCUAGAAAUCGAUGGACUGUGGCAACAGCACACUUCGAAGCAGGGCAAAGAUUGGAUGAGGAAGCGAAGUCAAGUCAAGUUUGAACUGAGGGCAACAGCAGAAUGCAAGGCGGAGCGAAAGAGAACAUUGCUGUGCAGGACAGAUUGUUGGUGGAGCAUUUUAAAGAAUGAAAAGAGCUCAGAUAAGAGCUAACGAGUUAAGAGAAUGCUGUUUACUACUAUUUCGCUUGAAGUACAAAGUUGAAGUUCGUUACGUUAACAUGGUACACUUUUAAAUGAUGCACGCUACACAGAGGGAGACUGAGUCUUUCCAUACCAGA